UACGUAGGGGGCGAGCGUUGUCCGGAGUUACUGGGCGUAAAGCGCACGCAGGCGGUCUGCUAAGUUUGGAGUGACGGUUGGUGGCUUAACUGCCAAAGUGCUUCGAAAACUGACAGACUUGAGGGCUUCAGAGGGACACGGAAUUCCGGGUGGAGUGGUGAAAUGCGUAGAGAUCCGGAGGAACACCAAAGGCGAAGGCAGUGUCCUGGGGAGUACCUGACGCUGAGACGCGAAAGCGCGGGGAGCGAACGGG
rnacentral:rRNA from 1 species